rnacentral:rRNA from 1 species
UACGAAGGGGGGCUAGCGUUGCUCGGAAUCACUGGGCGUAAAGGGUGCGUAGGCGGGUCUUUAAGUCAGGGGUGAAAUCCUGGAGCUCAACUCCAGAACUGCCUUUGAUACUGAGGAUCUUGAGUUCGGGAGAGGUGAGUGGAACUGCGAGUGUAGAGGUGAAAUUCGUAGAUAUUCGCAAGAACACCAGUGGCGAAGGCGGCUCACUGGCCCGAUACUGACGCUGAGGCACGAAAGCGUGAGGAGCAAACAGG